UGGCCUAAACAUCCUACUCCCCGUUCCCUUCGCCUCACUUUGCCCCGUCGGCCACCACCGUCAUUGCCGAACCUACAGCAACAAAAUCGCCUCCUCUGGAGCAAUCCAUGGACUGGCUUGCCAUUUGGUAAGGUAGAUGCUAUAUUUUUUCUUUUUGCUACUGUAUGCAUUAUCCUUCGUAUUGAUUUUGUUUUGGCCAUCAACUAAUUUUGUAGUAUAUCAUCACCUUAUGCAACCGAAUUUGUUGUUUUAUGUAAACUUACAGCUGAGAAAUUGAAUGGCCCAAACUUUGACCCAUGACUGCUUGUUCAUUCUUAGCGGCUAGGUGUGAGCAUGUUGUUACAUCUCAUCUCAUUGAUUCGUCCUAUAAAUUUUUUUUGGCAGAAUGGGGAGGCAGUUGGUUGGCCUGAAUUCUAGUGAUUCUCUGUCGAUUGACCAAUCAGUUCAAUAUGUUGAGAAAUUGUUCGAGGAAAGUUACAGCCACUAAUUAAUGGAUCUCUGAAGCUUCUUGUUGGUUGGUUUUCUCUACAAAUUUUGUUGUUAACUUGCAUAGCUGUACCGUCAAUUGUGGAAUUGAUACACUGGAGUUGCAUAAUAUGUGCAAAUUUUGUUAAUGUUCUCUGCAAGUAAUAGUAGAAAAUAUGAUGCUAAUUCUAGAGGCAGAUACGUGAACUCUUAGGUGGAACAAAAGCAUCCUUGUUGGUAGCAUCGCUCCCAAAGACAAACAUUUUCCUAGAAAGAUUUUGUUUGUUAAACUAGUAUAAUACCAAUUUUUUUUCUUCUUUCUUCUGUUACCUCGCUCUUUUCUAAGAAAAAAAUGUCAGGAUUAGCUUUUACACUAGCAGUAACAAAAUUCUCUUUUGUUUUUGGUUUGCUUGUUGUUUUCUCUGCAAAUUACAGUUGCACCAUCAAUAAAAUAAAAGACCAUUUGGGCGUAAUUAUUGUUAUUUUGCCCCUUUAACUAAUCAAUCACCUAUACUUGUACAGUGCAUAGACUAAAGUUGCGCAAAGCUUAACCAAAAUUUGCAUAAUCUAAAAUAUGAAACUUCUGCAUAAACUAGAUGUAACUUUGGCAUAAAUAAAGUGCAAUAUACUAUUUAAUUCGUAUUUUCCAUUAAUUGAAUCAACCUACAUGAAUCUAUAUCAGGAGAAAAUCUGUUUAUUUCUUAUUUUAUUAUAUUAGGAGAAAAUAUGUUUGAUUAAUGAUUAACUGUAGGACUUGUACCAAAAUUGCACCCUCUUCUUGCUAUAGUUGCAAUUUUCCGUAAUUUGCAACUUCAGUUAUAAAUUUGUGCAACUUAAGUUUUAAAUUUAUGCAACUAUAUCUGCACGUGCUAGCUGGAGGAUGGAGAAACAAUAUGUGCUAAUCAAUUUGAUGAAGUGAAAUCCAUGUCUGCAUUUGUAUGUGUGUAUUUUGGGGUAUUGGUAUGUUGGAAAUUUAUGUCGAGGUAGUUUAUUAUUAUGUGAUUUUAAAAGUAUAAAGAUCAUGUGCAACUUCAUUAAAUAAACAUGCACGCAACUUCAGUUAUAAAUGUCUACAACUUCUGUUACAAAUUUGUGCAAGUAUUGGUCCGCUUUCAAUACUUGAAUAAUGAGAAUUCUUGAGAAUAUUUUCAGUUGUCAUUUUUGCAGGGAAUCACAAAAAGGAUCAUUUUUUUUACAAAGGGAGUUGGCAUGGAUAAAGGCAAUUUCUCCUAGGUUUCAAAGUAAUGUCAGUAGUUAGUAAGUUAAUACAACAUAGCACUAUCUAGAUUCAUAUGGAUGAUAAUAAAUCUAGACAUAUAUACAAACAAUAUAUAUUGAUCAAUAGAUUAAUCUAAGAAUGUGGAUGAUGCUAUCAUACACAACAUAAGCUUAGUUAGGAUUUAAAUGACAAUGACAUCAAUGGUCUGCAGCAAAUUCCACUUUUGUAUAAUUCUUCGCUGGCCCAAAUAUAGAAAAGAUACACGUCCACUGUAUAUUUAUGCUACUUUAUUUGUUGUGCACAAAAAUAUUUUGUUUUCCAUAUAGUCUUUCCAGUUAUGUAUGCUUGUUGACUACUGUGUCAUCUUGAGCAACAUAUAUAGUUUGUUGAGAACAUACUCAAAUGUGUACAAUCCGAGAGAACUUAUUACAUAAAUUAUUUUAUUUUUUGA
rnacentral:lncRNA from 1 species